rnacentral:lncRNA from 10 species
UAGUGGGUGGAACCCCAGGAGGGAAAACUCAGGGAAGCCCAGGUGAGAGCGACGCGACCGAUGGGGCCCGGAUUUCUUGGAUGCUGGGGGACUGUCCCAGUAAGGCUUGGGAACCUGGGUGGGGCGCCUUUCAGAACGGGACCGAUGGGAGAGAGACGAGAAGGGUUAUGGGCACGAACCCCGUUCAGUAUCUGCUCCUUGCGCAGUGUGAGAACUGGGAGAGAGACUCCUGGCCCUUCCACUUCCUGUGCUUCCUUGGGAAGUGAAAAUACCCCAUGGAGUGAAGCUUGUGUGCUACGUUUUCCAGCCUUCUCCUUCAGGAGGCACAGCAGGGGACCCUGGUGGCCUCUCUGACCCCUUCUACCCUCCAAGAAGCGGUUCCCUGGCCCUUGGCGACCCCAGCUCGGACCCUGCAUGUUCCCAGAGUGGCCCAAUGGAGGCUGAAGAGGAUUCUCUUCCGGAGCAGCCAGAGGACUCAGCUCAGCUCCAACAGGAGAAGCCAUCCCUGUAUAUUGGGGUGCGGGGCACUGUUGUCCGUUCCAUGCAGGAGGUACUAUGGACUC